rnacentral:rRNA from 1 species
GAUGAAGGAGGGAGGCGUGCCUAAUACAUGCAAGUCGAGCGAACAGACGAGGAGCUUGCUCCUCUGACGUUAGCGGCGGACGGGUGAGUAACACGUGGAUAACCUACCUAUAAGACUGGGAUAACUUCGGGAAACCGGAGCUAAUACCGGAUAAUAUAUUGAACCGCAUGGUUCAAUAGUGAAAGACGGUUUUGCUGUCACUUAUAGAUGGAUCCGCGCCGCAUUAGCUAGUUGGUAAGGUAACGGCUUACCAAGGCAACGAUGCGUAGCCGACCUGAGAGGGUGAUCGGCCACACUGGAACUGAGACACGGUCCAGACUCCUACGGGAGGCAGCAGUAGGGAAUCUUCCGCAAUGGGCGAAGGCCUGACGGAGCAACGCCGCGUGAGUGAUGAAGGUCUUCGGAUCGUAAAACUCUGUUAUUAGGGAAGAACAAAUGUGUAAGUAACUAUGCACGUCUUGACGGUACCUAAUCAGAAAGCCACGGCUAACUACGUG